GACCUUGUAGUUCAAUUGGAUAGAACAUCAGAUUUCGGCUCUGACGAUGAGGGUUCGAGUCCUUCCUGGGUCACAA
rnacentral:tRNA from 2 species